rnacentral:lncRNA from 1 species
UUGAAGUUGAUUUAAAUUGAAUUUGAGGUUCAACUUUGUUUUUUUAAAUUUUAAUUGUAUUUUCUUUUAAUUCAAAAAGUACCAAUAAAAUAUCAUUGACUUCUUGACUUGUUAUAUUCAUUUCUCUCCUCUUUGGUGUUGAUUGAGGUUGAAUUGAUUCAACUUUGAUCAAAUUUAUUCGAUCUUGUGGUUUGAAAAUCCUUAAGGAUCAUCACCUAGAAGGAUGAAUGAAUUUCAUCAAGGAUGAGUUAUCCCUUGGUCAAUUAGG